AAGCAUUGGUGAUGCGAGUAGAGAAUGCUUUGCAUGCGCGUAGAGGAUACUUUUGAAUGGGGCAAAAAAUAUUUUUUUGUCCCUCACCUAUACAUCAGGUUUCAUUUUUGUCCUGAAACUAUUUUUUGGGUCACUUUCAUCCCUCGCGGAUCCUACUGUACCCUGUUUGUCCCUAAAAUCUAUCUGGCAAAGGAAAAAUAUGAUUUGGCAUUUCAGGUGACUUAAUUUGGACAUCUGGACUGUUGAGUCAGCAUCCAAAUAGGAGAGAGAUGAGUUAUCUUCCACGUGUAUUAAAUUUCAAAUACCCUAAUCUCUUAAAUCUUACAUUCACGAACGCUACUAAUCUCAGCUUCAAAAAGCCUCCACCAGCUCCAUCAACUCCUCCAUCAGGUCGAUUGAAAGAAAGUGUGGCCUUGAUGGGCAUAAUGCUAGGACUUGUGUAAGACAUGCUACAGAGGCCACUAUUGAACCAAUAAGUGCUCAACGACUACUAACAAAAUACCUGAGGUUGUUUGGUGGAGCUUUGAGGCUUGUCGGUGCUGCUGUAGGGCUUAGGUCAAAUGUUAGAGGAACAAGGCCACUGAACAAAGAGUGGGAGCUACUACUGUUACAGGAACUAGGCCAAUGAACAAAGAGUGAAGAUGUUGGUGUAGUAGUUGAGGCCUGUUGGAUGACUUAAGUGGUUGGUUUUUGUUGAUGUAUGUUUAAUGAUCUAGGAUUGUGCUUCUGCCGCAGACUGUUUUAAUUAUUUGAGACUAUUAUGUUUAAUGUAAUUGAAUGAUGUAUUGUGUUUGUUGUUUUUGGUUAUUAUAGGAACAUAAUUAUUUGAUUU